GCCAAAGAGGGGGACCUUCGGGCCUCUCGCCUCAGGAUAUGCCUAGGUGGGAUUAGCUAGUUGGUGAGGUAAGGGCUCACCAAGGCGACGAUCCCUAGCUGGUCUGAGAGGAUGAUCAGCCACACUGGAACUGAGACACGGUCCAGACUCCUACGCGAGGCAGCAG
rnacentral:rRNA from 1 species